GGUUGUGGCUCAGAGGUAGAGCACUCGCCUAGCGCAUUCAAGGGCCUGGGUUCUAUCCUCAGCACCA
rnacentral:tRNA from 1 species